UAGGGAAUAUUAGUAAUGGGCGCAAGCCUGAACUAGCAACGCCGCGUGUGCGAGGAAGGCCUUCGGGUUGUAAAGCACUUUUUGAGAGGAUGAGGAAGGACGGUACUCUCAGAAUAAGUCUCGGCUAACUACGUGCCAGCAGCCGCGGUAACACGUAGGAGGCGAACGUUAUCCGGAUUUACUGGGCGUAAAGCACAUGUAGGUGGUUUGGUAAGUAGGGCGUGAAAGCUCCUGGCUCAACUGGGAGAGGCCGUUCUAAACUGCCGAACUAGAGGAUGGUAGAGGGAGGUGGAAUUCCGGGUGUAGCGGUGGAAUGCGCAGAUAUCCGGAGGAACACCAGUGGCGAAAGCGGCCUCCUGGACCAUUCCUGACACUCAGACGCGAAAGCUAGGGUAGCAAACGG
rnacentral:rRNA from 1 species